rnacentral:tRNA from 1 species
GGGUUGUGGCUCAAUGGUAGAGUGCUCGCCUAGCAUGCGUGAGGCCCUGGGAUCGAUUCUCAGCCCCG